rnacentral:rRNA from 1 species
GACGAACGCUGGCGGCGUGCUUAACACAUGCAAGUCGAACGGAAAGGCCUGCUUUCCCUUGUGGAUUGCGGGUACUCGAGUGGCGAACGGGUGAGUAACACGUGAGUGAUCUGCCCCCAACUUGGGUAUAAGCCUGGGAAACUGGGUCUAAUUCCCGAUAGGACUGCAGGGUGGUGCCUGUGGUGGAAAACGAUUUUCUAGUGGUUGGGGAUGAGCUCGCGGCCUAUCAGCUUGUUGGUGGGGUAAUGGCCUACCAAGGCGGCGACGGGUAGCCGGCCUGAGAGGGUGGACGGCCACAUUGGGACUGGGAUACGGCCCCGACUCCUACGGGAGGCAGCAGUGGGGAAUAUUGCGCAAUGGGCGGAAGCCUGAUGCAGCGACGCCGCGUGGGGGAUGACGGCCUUCGGGUUGUAAACUCCUUUCGACCGCGAGGAAGCCACCUGGUUGGAAGGGUGGUGACGGUAGUGGUAGAAGAAGCACCGGCUAACUACGUG